UACGAAGGGGGCUAGCGUUGCUCGGAAUUACUGGGCGUAAAGCGCACGUAGGCGGAUUGUUAAGUCGGGGGUGAAAUCCUGGAGCUCAACUCCAGAACUGCCUUUGAUACUGGAGAGCUUGAGUCCGGGAGAGGUGAGUGGAACUCCGAGUGUAGAGGUGAAAUUCGUAGAUAUUCGGAAGAACACCAGUGGCGAAGGCGGCUCACUGGCCCGGUACUGACGCUGAUGUGCGAAAGCGUGGGGAGCAAACAGG
rnacentral:rRNA from 1 species